UACGUAGGGGGCAAGCGUUAUCCGGAUUUACUGGGUGUAAAGGGAGCGUAGACGGUUAAUCAAGCCAGAAGUGAAAACCCAGGGCUCAACCUUGGGACUGCUUUUGAAACUGAGUAGCUAGAGUGCAGGAGAGGUAAGCGGAAUUCCUAGUGUAGCGGUGAAAUGCGUAGAUAUUAGGAGGAACACCAGUGGCGAAGGCGGCUUACUGGACUGUAACUGACGUUGAGGCUCGAAAGCGUGGGGAGCAAACAGG
rnacentral:rRNA from 1 species